GGGCGCCGCCCGCACCGCCCCGGCUGCGCCACCGCCCCGGACUGUGCCGGCGCAGGAGGCCGCCCUCCUCGGCGCCCCCAGGUGGGGCAGGUCGAGCCCGGUGCGCUAUCCCUUUAAGCCCGGGCGAGAUGGGAGCUGUCAGCGACAGCCGAGGCUAGCGCGGGACGUAGCCGCCCGCCAGGCCGCAGCGGGGAGCGAGGAGCAAGCGGAGAGCCGAGGGGGCGGUGGGGCCCGGGCUCGGCGGGUCCCCUCGCCGCCCACAGUGCGUCCGCACCUCGGGCCCGGCGAGUGGCGGGCGGCACCCCAUGUAAUGCGGAGAAUGUGAGGGCAGCGCAGGGCGGUGGGGAGGAGGCGCGGGAGAGGGCGUCGGCAAGAUAGAGAGGCAGCCGGAGAGACUGAGGACAGGGAUCGGGGCGGCUGCAGGUGGGAGAAAGGAGAGAAGAUAAAAGGAUAGGCAGUGACAGAAAAGGGGGAAAGAAAGGAGCGGGAGAGCACGCGGCUGCAGGCGGCGGAGCAGGCGAGGAGGAGGGAGCCAGCGCCUCUGGGUGGGAGCGCCGGAAGCCGGAGUCGGGCUCCCCGGCCGGGGGUCAGGCUUAGAGCACGGCCGCGGCCCGGCAGGGCAGGGUGAAGGAGCAGGGACGCCCGAGGGGGCCCCUCUGGGAGCACCGGAGGACCUAAGGCGGGGCCAGUCCGGUAGGACCGCAGGGCCACUCCUCAGGCCCCGCUCCGGGGGCUCCGGCAGGCCGGGGCCAGGGGCCUUUGUGAGCGCCCCAAGAGGGCGAGAGUCGGGAGUGCGGAGCCGGGUGUGCGGUGGCGGGGGGGUGUGCGCGCCCGGGUGUGCGCGAGUGUGAGCGCCCAGGAGGGUGGGAGCGCGCGUUAGGGAUUCUGCUGGCAUCGCAGAGUGGAGAGCAGGAGGCAGGAGCGGGGCGCGCGGGGGAGCUUGGGGCCCUCCCGUGCACACGCACACACACCGCGCGCGCUCACACACACAUACACAGACACACACACGCGCACACGCCCUCCCUGCCUCGCUCGUUGCCGCGGCCACCAUCUCAGAGCCGAGCCCUGCGGAGCGGGAACCCAAGCCGGAGCGGGAACAGGAGGGAAACGGAGCCGGGGAAUGCGGCCCCGGAGAGGAGCUGCGCGCAGACUGCGCGCCCGAAACGCCUCCUGCUCCCACAGGCCCUGAGGCUCCUGUGCCCACAGGCAAAGAGAGAGACCGAGUCAAACCAGGCUGAUCCCCCAGCAGCUGCACUCCCCAAACGCCUGCCCGACCUGAGGUCAAACACGUUGGGUCAUCUCAUUGCCAAGUCCAGUUUUCAGAUGAGGAAACUGAGGGGCUCUUAUCUCACUUCAGUCCCUGAACUGCACACUGCCUCCCUCUAGACCCCCGGCGUCGACACUGAGAGGAGACAGCAAGAACAGGAGUGAUACUUCAUAGGAAGGUGGCAGGAAAACUCUGGGAGCCGGGCAUCAUCUCCUGCUGACGCCUGGGGCGUGUGUGUACGCGAGCACGCGCAUG